GAUUGUAUAAAGGUGAAGUAGGAGUAAGAGAUGUAUAUUGAUGAAGCAGUUGGAGUGAACAUGUAAUUGAGAUGGUGAAUUUAGACCGUUUCGAACGUAUAUUAAUGUUUUUACAUGCUCUUGGAGAUUAAUCUUUCAACAUUGUAUCAGCUUCGACGAACGAAUAAUGGCUAGAGAGAAUAAACAGAGUAAACUUGGUUUCACGCGAACUCCUACAUCGUGGAAUAUAAACAGGGCAUGUUUACGUUUGCUGGCCUUCAAAGGAGAAUCCCUCUUCACAAACUCGCCAACCUCC